rnacentral:rRNA from 1 species
AGUGAACGCUGGCGGUAGGCCUAACACAUGCAAGUCGAACGGCAGCACAGUAAGAGCUUGCUCUUACGGGUGGCGAGUGGCGGACGGGUGAGGAAUACAUCGGAAUCUACUUUUUCGUGGGGGAUAACGUAGGGAAACUUACGCUAAUACCGCAUACGACCUACGGGUGAAAGCAGGGGAUCUUCGGACCUUGCGCGAUUGAAUGAGCCGAUGUCGGAUUAGCUAGUUGGCGGGGUAAAGGCCCACCAAGGCGACGAUCCGUAGCUGGUCUGAGAGGAUGAUCAGCCACACUGGAACUGAGACACGGUCCAGACUCCUACGGGAGGCAGCAGUGGGGAAUAUUGGACAAUGGGCGCAAGCCUGAUCCAGCCAUACCGCGUGGGUGAAGAAGGCCUUCGGGUUGUAAAGCCCUUCUGUUGGGAAAGAGAAGCAGCAGGUUAAUACCCCGCUGUUCUGACGGUACCCAAAGAAUAAGCACCGGCUAACUUCGUG